GACCCCAUGCACACAAGAAAGGUGUGCUUUGACGCCGUCUCCCACAGCAGCCCCGUCACCCUGUACGACUGUCACGGCAUGAAGGGGAACCAGCUGUGGCGCUACAGAAAGGAUAAAAGUCUGUAUCACCCCGUCAGUAACAGCUGCAUCGACUGCAGCCCGAGCGAGCGGCGAGUCUUCAUGAACGCGUGCGACCCGUCCUCCCUGAGCCAGCAGUGGCUGUUUGAGAGAACCAACGCAACCGUGCUGGACCACUUCAACCGGGGCGCCAACUGAGGCAAUCAAGUGAUCACAAUCCAAACUAGAGGUGAACACUGUGCUGCUUCAGCGAAGUUCCUCAUGGCUCUGCGGGGGAUCUGGUGCACGGGCUGAGAGCUGAAGAGACCGCACGUUAUCAACAUCCAGAUUACAGUCGUACAGCACGAGUCUGUGAUGAGGAAGGAGGAUGGGAGAGCCGUGGUGAAACCUGAUCGUCCUGCACAAACGGAGCACUGACACCCUGAUCUUUGGACAUCACGUGUUUCUAAGUGUUGGGACUUUGUGAGGACGCUCCCGUCUUUCUCAUGUGACUCCCUAAAACACAGACUCUGUAGGACUCAACAGAUUGUCUUUUACAACGCCUCUUUCAUCACAUCUUUUUCAACUGUUGCCUUAGCAUUUCCAACAAUAGGAAAUACCAGCCCCCCACCCCCCUUGUGCAGAGGUACCUUGGUAGCAUAUUGUGUGGACUGAUUCUGCAGCUUUAACUCUGUGAGAGCUGGAGGAAACAUUCGAAAAACUGUAAAGAAGUGUUCCUGCAAAGCGCAACAAAGUCUCUGUCUCUGUCAGAUCAACAACUUGUACAAACUCGUAUCCAAAGUUGCAAAUGUUUAUUUUUCU